rnacentral:rRNA from 1 species
CACGUAGGGGGCAAGCGUUGUCCGGAUUUACUGGGCGUAAAGCGUGCGCAGGCGGUCGUUCAAGUCGCGUGUGAAAGCCCCCGGCUCAACUGGGGAGGGUCACGCGAUACUGAUCGACUCGAAGGCAGGAGAGGGUAGUGGAAUUCCCGGUGUAGUGGUGAAAUGCGUAGAUAUCGGGAGGAACACCAGUGGCGAAGGCGACUACCUGGCCUGUUCUUGACGCUGAGGCGCGAAAGCUAGGGGAGCAAACGGG